rnacentral:rRNA from 1 species
AUGAACGCUGGCGGCGUGCCUAAUACAUGCAAGUCGAGCGAACAGACGAGGAGCUUGCUCCUCUGACGUUAGCGGCGGACGGGUGAGUAACACGUGGAUAACCUACCUAUAAGACUGGGAUAACUUCGGGAAACCGGAGCUAAUACCGGAUAAUAUAUUGAACCGCAUGGUUCAAUAGUGAAAGACGGUUUUGCUGUCACUUAUAGAUGGAUCCGCGCCGCAUUAGCUAGUUGGUAAGGUAACGGCUUACUAAGGCAACGAUGCGUAGCCGACCUGAGAGGGUGAUCGGCCACACUGGAACUGAGACACGGUCCAGACUCCUACGGGAGGCAGCAGUAGGGAAUCUUCCGCAAUGGGCGAAAGCUUGACGGAGCAACGCCGCGUGAGUGAUGAAGGUCUUCGGAUCGUAAAACUCUGUUAUUAGGGAAGAACAAAUGUGUAAGUAACUAUGCACGUCUUGACGGUACCUAAUCAGAAAGCCACGGCUAACUACGUG